UACAGAGGGUGCUAGCGUUGUUCGGAAUCAUUGGGCGUAAAGGGCGUGUAGGCGGUUUGUUAAGUCAUGUGUGAAAUCCCUCGGCUCAACCGGGGAACGACGCAUGAAACUGGCAAGCUAGAGUACCAAAGAGGGGGGUGGAAUUCCCGGUGUAGUGGUGAAAUGCGUAGAUAUCGGGAGGAACACCAGUGGCGAAGGCGGUUCUCUGGGCCUGUACUGACGCUGAGAAGCGAAAGCAUGGGGAGCGAACAGGGAUUAGAU
rnacentral:rRNA from 1 species